rnacentral:rRNA from 1 species
AUGCGGUAUGACGGUACCCUUUCGAAUAAGAGGUUGCUAACUCUGUGCCAGCAGCAGCGGUAAUACAGAGACCUCGAGCGUUAUCCGGAUUUACUGGGCGUAAAGCGUCUGUAGGGGGUUUGUUAAGUUCCAAGUAAAAUCUUAAGGCUCAACUUUAAGUUCGCUUGGAAAACUAAUAAACUGGAGUCCAGCAGAGGUGCAUGGAACUUGCGGUGUAGGAGUGAAAUCCGUUGAUAUCGCAAGGAACACCAAAGGCGAAGGCAUUGCACUGGGCUGGUACUGACCCUGAGAGACGAAAGCGUGGGGAGCAAAACGGAUUAGAUACCCGUGUAGUCCACGCCGUAAACGAUGGAUACUAGAUGUUCGGGGAUUCGACCCCCUGGGUGUCACAGCUAACGCGUUAAGUAUCCCGCCUGGGAAGUACGGCCGCAAGGCUAAAACUCAAAGGAAUAGACGGGGAUCCGCACAAGCGGUGGAGCGUCUGGUUUAAUUUGAUAGUAAGCAAUGGACCUCACCAAGGUUUGACAUCCUAUGACAACCCUGGAAACAGGGCUUCCUUCGGGCAUAGUGACAGGUGCUGCAUGGUCGUCGUCAGUUCGUGCCGUGAGGUGUUCCGUUAAGUCGGGAAACGAACGAAACCCUCGUCGCAUGUUACAAAUUUCAUGCGAGACUGCCCGGGUCAACCGGGAGGAAGGCGGGGAUGACGUCAGAUCAGCAUGGCCCUUAUACCUUGGGCUACACAGGCGCUACAAUGGCCGGUACAAAGGGUUGCAAAACCGCGAGGUGAAGCUAAUCCCAUAAAGCCGGUCCAAGUUCGGAUUGGAGGCUGCAACUCGCCUCCAUGAAGUUGGAAUCGCUAGUAAUCGUGGAUCAGCCAUACCACGGUGAUACGUUCCCGGAUCUUGUACUCACCGCCCGUCACACCAAGAGAGUUGGUAGCUCCUGAAGC